rnacentral:rRNA from 1 species
AGUGAACGCUGGCGGUAGGCCUAACACAUGCAAGUCGAACGGCAGCACAGUAAGAGCUUGCUCUUACGGGUGGCGAGUGGCGGACGGGUGAGGAAUACAUCGGAAUCUACUCUUUCGUGGGGGAUAACGUAGGGAAACUUACGCUAAUACCGCAUACGACCUACGGGUGAAAGCAGUGGAUCUUCGGACCUUGCGCGAUUGAAUGAGCCGAUGUCGGAUUAGCUAGUUGGCGGGGUAAAGGCCCACCAAGGCGACGAUCCGUAGCUGGUCUGAGAGGAUGAUAAGCCACACUGGAACUGAGACACGGUCCAGACUCCUACGGGAGGCAGCAGUGGGGAAUAUUGGACAAUGGGCGCAAGCCUGAUCCAGCCAGACCGCGUGGGUGAAGAAGGCCUUCGGGUUGUAAAGCCCUUUUGUUGGGAAAGAAAAGCAGCAGGUUAAUACCCCGCUGUUCUGACGGUACCCAAAGAAUAAGCACCGGCUAACUUCGUG